rnacentral:rRNA from 1 species
AUUGAACGCUGGCGGCAUGCUUUACACAUGCAAGUCGAACGGUAACAGGUUAAGCUGACGAGUGGCGAACGGGUGAGUAAUGCAUCGGAACGUGCCCGAUCGUGGGGGAUAACGCAGCGAAAGCUGCGCUAAUACCGCAUGCGAUCUGAGGAUGAAAGCGGGGGACCGUAAGGCCUCGCGCGAUCGGAGCGGCCGAUGUCAGAUUAGGUAGUUGGUGGGGUAAAGGCUCACCAAGCCAACGAUCUGUAGCUGGUCUGAGAGGACGACCAGCCACACUGGGACUGAGACACGGCCCAGACUCCUACGGGAGGCGGCAGUGGGGAAUUUUGGACAAUGGGCGAAAGCCUGAUCCAGCAAUGCCGCGUGCAGGAAGAAGGCCUUCGGGUUGUAAACUGCUUUUGUACGGAGCGAAAAGGCUCUCUCUAAUACAGGGGGCUCAUGACGGUACCGUAAGAAUAAGCACCGGCUAACUACGUGCCAGCCGCCGCAGUAAAAC